rnacentral:rRNA from 1 species
UACGUAGGGUGCAAGCGUUAAUCGGAAUUACUGGGCGUAAAGCGUGCGCAGGCGGUUGUGCAAGACAGAUGUGAAAUCCCCGGGCUUAACCUGGGAAUUGCAUUUGUGACUGCAUCGCUGGAGUGCGGCAGAGGGGGAUGGAAUUCCGCGUGUAGCAGUGAAAUGCGUAGAUAUGCGGAGGAACACCGAUGGCGAAGGCAAUCCCCUGGGCCUGCACUGACGCUCAUGCACGAAAGCGUGGGGAGCAAACAGG